rnacentral:misc_RNA from 1 species
GAUGAAGAACGUAGUGAAAUGCGAUAAGUAAUGUGAAUUGCAGAAUUCAGUGAAUCAUCGAAUCUUUGAACGCACCUUGCACCCUUUGGCAUUCCGAAGGGUAUGCUCGUUUGAGUGUCAUUGUACUCUCACACUUCCAAUCUUUGGAUUGGGAGCAGUGGACUUGGGUGUUGCUGCUUACUGUGGCUUACCUCAAAUCGAUUCGUGCACCUCUUGGUUGGACAUAGUACGGCGUGAUAAGUGUCUUCGCCGGCACCUCAGUAGAGGGUGGCUGAUCAGGAGCUCUGUGCUUCAAACCGUCCUCGGACAACAACUGACAACUUGACCUCAAAUCGAGUAGGACUACCCGCUGAACUUAAGCAUAUCAAUAAGCGGAGGA